AGAAAGACCUACGCCCCGACCGCCGCCCGCGGGUCGCCCGCUCCCUCGUGACCCUGUUGCUCCCUCCUCGAUCUAGAUCUGGAUCGAGGGGACAAGGAGCUCCGGCCUCCUCCUCGCCCCGCUGCUGCGUCCGGCGCCGCCACGGCCUCUGGAGCACGGCGCGGAUGAGGAACCCACCCACGGUGUGCGAGGGGUCUCUUCCCGUACGUCAAGGCAUCCCUCCUCACGUUUCCUCUUUCGGCAUGACGGGCCGCCGCCGCACUCCCUUCCCCGGCCGCCCCACGGGCUUCUAUCUCUCCCAGCUCCGCUACCGCACCCCGUCUUCCAUCUCUACAUGAAUCGCUGUUGUGGAAGCCAUACCCCACCGCGCCACCCAGCGGCCAUCCGGGUACGCCGUGUCCGGGAUGAUGGAGUUGAGUCAGCCAGGUCCCUGUUCCCGUCGGCAUCUUCUGCAUCGGGACCCGUGGGGGCAAGCUGCGCGCUGCUCAUCUGCGUCGAUGGCGUCGGCGCGGCCUUCCCCUGCCAAGACCGGCGGCUCCUUGGCUGGAUCCUCUCCUCUCCUCUCUUCCACCUCUCGUCGUCGGGUGCUCCUUCCGUCGAUGUCAAGGUCUUAGUCUCGGUGAUUUCUCCUUGUAUGUUCUGUUGAUAUUGGUACCAUGUUCUGAAACUUGCUGCUUUGGAAAGGGUGUGGUUUCAGUUUUGAUGGUUCUAUUCAAUUCAAGGUGAUUCGGUAAUGUUCUCCGUACAAAGUGCUUCCUAUUUUUGCGGUGAAAAACAACGUGUUGGAGAUAGUUCAGACAUUGAAAAUUUGACAGUAUUUUCUUCUUCUUUUGAUCCCGUUUCUUCAUAGUUAGUCAGACUCAAUAAGAAUUAGAGAAAGUUGGAAAGAGGUUUGUUAGGUCGGAACUGAUAUAUUUGCUUUCUCCUAGCAUCAUAUACAUAUCAUUUUAUAUAACGGGGAUUGUGCUAUAUUACCAUGUUAUAAAGGUAGAGCUAGGAUAUGUCUUUCUUGAACUGUGUGGACAUGCUCAUGGCAGAGGUGCUCUGUUUGCAUGUUUUUUGAAGUAAAGUGGAGAAACUAUUGAAUUGUGUCUUCAGAAAUAGUAUACUGUUGAUGUGUCUUUAGAUGCUGGUUACUGUGUUGGAAUCUACCAAUCCUUCUGAUCAUUGUGUUUUUCUGGGCCUGGAGGUCUACGCCAAACCCCAGGGCAGGGUGGUUCGAACACCAGUGCAGUACGGGCUGGGACGAAUAUCAUCUUGUCUCUGCCUCUACUAAUUCAAAUUACACGUAACUUAUUCACUCAAAAAAAUUACAUGUAAUUUAUUCAGUUCUAGAGCAGCCAAGGGCGGGGCAUCGCACCGACGACAGUGAAUGCAAUGAGGGUGAGAUGCCGAUGUUCGUGCCGGCGCCGGAGACCGUGACCACAACUCGGGGCAAGGUGCUGGUGUCAGCGACGUCGCCCGUGUUGGCCCCUUGAGUUUUGGACCUGCCGCGCUCUGGUUCUAGAAGCUGCCAUUCCCAUCGAGCCCCUCCAGCAGCCUUCAGGAGCUCAGCUUUGUGAUCAGUCAUUUAAAGUAUUUGAGAAACUUGAAGGGAAGCACAUGGCAAAGCCAUAAUUACCUUUUAGUUAUAUUUCAAGUUGUAGGAAAGUUGAAAUCAAUCUGAAAGCAGCUUUCUAUUGUAGAUAUUUUAUUAGUGGCUUGAAGACUUCCAACUCUGUUUGAUGUUAUAGAAAUAGUGAGGUUAUGCCACAAUGCUGAUAGACUUGGUACUUGUAGGAUGGAGAGGAGAAGACUGAAAAGGAUGUUGAUAUGAGGAAUUCAAGGAAGUGGAAGAGGAAGAAAGUUCUGAUGAUGGUGAUAAUUAGAAUAUCAAGUUUGACGACGAUGAUGAUUGGAACCAAGAGGAGGAAGUACGUAAGUUUCCAUCUAUUCAUAUGGAUGUUACCCUCGAUGUACUAUGACCAAAUAUGUAAUGCCUGGUUUGGUUUAAUUAUUUUCUUGUGUAUCACUAGAUAAUCAGUUAACAAGUGUUGACCAUGGUGCAUUGAUCUUAUUUAGUUGUGGUUUUGUAUGCCUCCCCCAACUGCCGCUAAAACCCACCAAAAAAUUAGCAAGAAAAUUGAUGGUGGGAGCUAGCACUGCCAGCAGUGCCUCCUUUAGGAUUUGAAAAUCGUUAAUCCUAUCUUUGCUUGCAUGUGACUGAUGGUGAUGCUACACAAGUUCUGAAGGCAGUGCCCUCCCCUUCAGCAGGAGAUCUUGCUGUUUCUGCAUGGCACAACUGGAUUAAAUAUGCUACAACAAGCGAAGGAGUUCAACGAUGUUGUUGGAAUCAAAGGAUUCAUCCUAACGAAAUUAGACAGGACUGCUCGUGUUGGCUGUGUGUUACGGGUGAGUGUUCAUAGACGAAGUUGGAGUUCCAGCCAAGUUUGUUGGCGUCGGCGAAGGGGUGGAAGAUCUCCAACCUUUUGAUUGAGAAGCAUUUGUUGAAGUCAUUUUCCCAUAAAUUUGACCCAGUUAUUAGUGUUUCUCAUGUAACAAGAUUUUGGCUAACAUGCUACUCCCUUCGUUUCUAAAUAUGUCUUUUUAGGAAUUCUAAUAUGGACUGCAUACGAAGAAAAAUGAGUGAAUCUACACUCUAGAAUAUGUCUACAUUUAUCCGUAUGUAGUCCAUAUUCAAAUCACUAAGAAGACCUAUAUUUAGGAAUGGAGGGAGUAGAACUUGGUAGAAGCAAUUUUUUCAACAAUUACAGUUUUUUUUGUUCAGUCGUCGACUCGUCUGCCUGACUUGUUUCUGUCGUUGAUCCUAACUAUUCAUACAGAAACAUAAGCAAGUACGGCCACAACCUCCAAUACUACUACGACUGAUGGCUAUCCUCUACCCGAGGAGAAAAACUGCAUUCAGAGGGUUACGGAAUGGCAAUGGGUGGGUUACCUCCCAGGAGCAGAUGACUGGCAUGGUUAGUGAUCACUAGGCCAUGAAUCUCAUGGAUCGCAUGAUACAGUAUUUUUACGGUGCAGGUAUCUGGUCCAGAUCCGACGGAGACAAGCAAAAUCGUGCCGCUGCUUCUUCUUUUGAUUGAAAAUCCAGGUGAAAUCUUUCAGGAACUCAGGACGACACGCAUUGAUUAUAUUUCAUUGUGAUGGCCGUUGCCGCCACAGCUACUAUGGGUACAAGCAACUUCUAUUUCGCUCGUCGCCGGAAACCACCGCCCAGAUCCAUCUCUUCUCAACCAUGCCGACGUGGUGGUCAGGGGCGCUUACAACUUGUGAGGGCCUGCGUUCUUGCUGUUGAUCCAUGAUGGCAUGGCCUCCCCACGCCCUAGCUUUGGGUCUGCCAGUAGAGGGAGAGGGGGACGACCUCUGUCGCUCCUUCUCUCUAGCCUCUUCAUCUUGAUGAAGCUGUAGGAGUAGAGGGGCACGCGCGUGAUGGAUCUGCUCCAAGCACCUCAAGCCACGCAUCUUCAAGGUGAUCACUUCAUCCACAUUCAAUCUCAGUUCCCGCGUUUACUCCGAGGAGAGUUCAAAAGCAGCAGGAGCAGUUGUUCUACUGCUGGUCGGAGGGAGAGCUUGGCAAGGGAGAUAGAGGGAGCUCUACAACCACAAUCUUGGCAUACAACCCGAUGGCAUCAUGCCCACAUAAGCUUCUUCCAUGUAACAAUUCUUGCACUUGAUGGUCUUUUACUGUUAGAGCUUACGAAAUCUUAGAUGUUGCUGACAAAAGACCGAGAUACACUAUUUCAGAAUAUAUAUUAUUCAGCAAGUACGUUCACAAAAUUUUUUGGUCUCAGCAGGUUGGUGUUCAUGUACAGGUUGCCAUAUGAGAAUAUACUUCGUAUUCAUCAAAUCUCAGAACAAAUGAUCCAUUCCGAUCAUAACUAUUCCAAAAGCAUUGAUAGGCUUUUUUAAACAUCAAGAUAUCUGAAUAUUGAUCUCAGCAGUGUCCAAAAUCCAAAUGGUUAUGUUUGUUCAGAUUUUCCUCAUUUUUAUGUUCUUUGAAUUAAAGUACUUCUUGAGGUUAAUAAUAAAUGAUUGUUGGUAACUUAACUAGCUCCUGAGAAUAAUUUGUGAUAUAGCUUGCUCCUAUAUUUGCCAUUAACAACGUUGCUUGUGGAGAGUAAUAAGGAUUUAUCUAGCUCAUGUAUGUAUGAGCCUGAGACGGAGAGGACAACGGUUGUGGCUCCAUUGAUGAUAGUGGUUGCGAUGCAGAGCCGUAUGAAUGGACAGCAGGCAAGCCAAGCACUCCCUGGGAAUCGCCGUGAUUCUGGAAUGGGUGGGGGGUCCCGGCCCCUACCACCCAUGAAGCUGACAACGAUCACGUGGCAUCGUGCGGCGGCUGCGGAGGAGAGGGAGGCAUGAGGGGGAGACUUGUAAGCGAGAACCCGCACGGAGGAGGAAGGAGACGCCUCAGGUGGAGAUGAUGACGAUGGCCGUGCCUCCAUCGCUGGCGGCGGUCAUGACGUGCAGCUGCAGGACUAGACAUCAGACAGGCGGAGUCGUUUCUGGGAGUUGCUUGCUUUGGUGGUGCUCUUGGGUUUACGAUUUCAAUAUAAUCCUAUGUCGGAGUGGAAGGUUAAUGUUAUUUCUCUGAUAUCACAAUGUAUCUUCUUGGCUCAGGUAUUGAGAAAGUAGCAUUUUCGCAGAUGUAUUUACUUAGUUUGAUAAGAUGGUGAAAAUAUCUGUAAUUCAGACAUGAAAGAGAGUCAAAUUUAAAAGUAGCUUUUAUAGUCAUAGCUAGCUUACUUUGGUUUACUUGGUCCAUGUAGAGCUGGAAUCUCGGAGCUACACUUUCAACCGGCUUGCUUUGAAAAUCAAGUAAAAUGAAAAGGAUAGAGGUUUCAAUUGUAGCAAUAGUUUAGUAGUGCUACAGAUCUGUGGAGCGGGCAAGAAUUAUUGGUCAACCUUAUAGCUUCUUAUAGCUUCUAUUUGUCAUCUAGAUGUUGUACAUCAUGUACAGAUCUGUUUAAGAAGGAUUGUUGUACAUCAGGUACAGCCUCUUAUAGGUUCUAUUUGUCAUCUAGAUGUCUAAGAUGUUUGGUCUGAUGAUCUCCCUUCACAUUUGCUUGUUUAAACAAACAGGAAUUAAAGUUUACGGAAUGCGAGAAACAUAUAUGCAUAACUGGAUCUGUGAUUCGGUGAUUUUUUGAAUGUGAAGGUGCAUUCUUACAAAUUUUCUGCUCAUGUUAGUUUAGCCCCUGGCUGCAUUAUACAGACAUCAUAUUUAGAUACUUUUGAUUAUAAAGAUCUCUGACAUGAUCAUAUUGUUAUUUUCAGCUUUUGGAUUUGCAUAUAAUGCUGACACCACAUGGACUCUGAAGGAAGUUGUGCUAACUGCUAAGCUUUCCCUGCUUUUCCAGCUUGUGUGUUUCAUUGAUGGAGGAGGUAUAAAUCUGUUCCUUAAAGCGAGCAAAUCAAAACAAAAAUGCAGGAGGUAUCCGACAACAUUGACGAACGCUACACCAUUCCACUUAGACCUGAGGGUAACAUCAAAGGAUGCCACCGGCAGCAGAGAUCAACAAGUUCUUCACCGUCGGGGAGAAGGUGGAGGUCGAAUGUUUCACCGUCCAGUGCAGACUUAUCAUUCAGCUACAGUCACUUGAUCAUCGUCACAGACACCGCCACACUAAGAAUUGUGCAGCUGCUCUACUUUCAGGUACAAAAUUGGACAUCAUGUGGGGUGUUAUGCUCAACCCCAGCCAGUUCAAAGGCAACACUGGUGGUGGUCCUCUGAGUAUGCAUAUGACAUAGAGUGGGCACUGCAAUAAUACAUGCUAAUAGGCGCAGUUUCAUCUCGAGCAGACGAGCACUGCAAUAGUACAUGCUACUCUCAGCGACUACUAACGUGAAGUUGCACUCAGGCUCUCGCAUAUACUAAAGAGCAGUGUCAUCAAUGGAACAAAUAAAGUCUUGAUAACUAGAAGGCCAUUCCAAUUCCAGUAUGGUAAAUAUUCGAUGGAUGACAAAGGGUCCCGAGGGAGCUCGUUUGUGCUGACAACACUCAGCAUAUUCUGCAAAUAUCCUCUGAGUUCACCAUCCAUGAGCUGCAAGUCAUGUUUUCUGGUGCUACAAGUAUAAAAAGGUUCAUGCUUUGCGGUAUUAACCUUUUGUGCUGUUGUUCCAAUACCUUUUGGAGUUUUGGCCUAAAAGGGCUCUCUGGAACACUGAGACAAAGAGAGCUAAAAUUUGGAGUAUGAUUAAGCAGUCCAGUCAGCGUUACUAAUCCCCACUUGAGCUUGACUGUAUUUCCUGGCUUAAUGUUUGAGAUUCUAUGUAUAGCAAAAAAUAUGUGCAGAAUUUCAUUUAAGUUUGAAAGCCAAUCGAUUCCAUGCUUUGAGCUGGUAAGUGGUCCCUGUUCUAAAUUGGUAUUUGGAUCCCAAACUCCCUAUGAACAUAUAAGGAAAUUUUAGUUGUGAAACGACACUUGCUGUACAUGCCAUAUUGCUA